rnacentral:rRNA from 1 species
UGGGGAAUCUUGCGCAAUGGUCGAAAGACUGACGCAGCGACGCCGCGUGGGUGACGAAGGCCUUCGGGUUGUAAAGCCCUGUGGGGCGGGACGAACAAGCGCCGGGCGAACAGCCCGGGGCCCUGACGGUACCGCCUUAGCAAGCACCGGCUAACUCUGUGCCAGCAGCCGCGGUAAGACAGAGGGUGCGAACGUUGCUCGGAAUUACUGGGCGUAAAGCGCGUGCAGGCGGCCCUGCACGUCCGGUGUGAAAGCCCGGGGCUCAACCCCGGAAGCGCGCUGGAAACGACGGGGCUGGAGGGCUGGAGAGGCGGGCGGAAUUCCCGGUGUAGAGGUGAAAUUCGUAGAUAUCGGGAGGAACACCGGUGGCGAAGGCGGCCCGCUGGACAGCGCCUGACGCUGAGACGCGAAAGCGUGGGUAGCAAACAGGAUUAGAUACCCCUGUAGUCC